rnacentral:rRNA from 1 species
UGGAAGUAAAAAAGGUGUACAAGGUUUCACUACUGUAGCCUUUGCAUCUGGCGCGACCAGGAGGCUCCCGCGACUCAAAAUAAACGGUAGCCGUUUGCAAGUCAGGCUUCGUCCUGGCAACACAACUAAAUUAUCGGGGAUUCCCAGGCUCUUGCGGCGUGGAAGAUCCGUAGCACGCAAGUGUUCACAGGCUAGAUAGUUGUGGGUUCAGUCGCCAGACUGGGCUUGAGAUAUAGUCGGUCCCCAUGAUGAAUUGUGGGGAGCCAACGUUCCGUAGGUCGCAAUUGUUCAGCCUACUACAGCGGCGCCGCCGCUAGUCUCCCCCGGAGGCAACAUGCUCAAUGUUGCGGAGAGGCCCCCCUGGGGUAAUCCGCAGCCAGCCCCUUUACCCGGGGCUGGUUCAGAGACUCAAUGAGCGUGGGUCGGGCGUCCGCCCGGCUUGAGAUAGAGCCCGUCCCCGCAGGCAACUGCGGGGGCUCAACGGAACCUGCGGAAGGAUCAUUA